rnacentral:rRNA from 1 species
GACGUAGGGCGCGAGCGUUGUCCGGAUUUAUUGGGCGUAAAGAGCUCGUAGGCGGCUUGUCGCGUCGUCCGUGAAAACCCAUGGCUCAACUGUGGGCUUGCGGUCGAUACGGGCAGACUAGAGUGCUGUAGGGGAGACUGGAAUUCCUGGUGUAGCGGUGAAAUGCGCAGAUAUCAGGAGGAACACCGGUGGCGAAGGCGGGUCUCUGGGCAGUAACUGACGCUGAGGAGCGAAAGCGUGGGGAGCAAACAGG